AAACGUGGUGCUGUUCACUAUGAUUAAUUAACCCAGCACCAGAGCCCCGAGCCGCGGUGCUAAAAAUACCUGCUUCCCUCUGAGAUGCGGCAGCUGCCACGCAGCAACUUUUACCCACGCCGUUUGUCAUAAUCUGACACUGCUAAGGAGUGUCCACAGGGCCGUGCGUCUGCAAGAAUCGGACUCUGCAACUCCGCAACUCGGAUUGGAGCCAUCCAUCAGAGGCCCUGCCAGCCCAGGGCGGCACUUUAAUUAAAAUAUGUAAAACAUCCUGGUGGGAGUG
rnacentral:lncRNA from 1 species